AUUGANGCUGNCGGCAGGCCUAACACAUGCAAGUCGAGCGGAUGAAGGGGAGCUGCUCCUGGAUUCAGCGGCGGACGGGNGAGUAAUGCCUAGGAAUCUGCCUGGUAGUGGGGGAUAACGUCCGGAAACGGGCGCUANUACCGCAUACGUCCUGAGGGAGAAAGUGGGNGGAUCUUCGGACCUCACGCUAUCAGAUGAGCCUAGGUCGGAUUANCUAGUUGGUGGGGUAAAGGCCUACCAAGGCGACGAUCCGUAACUGGUCUGAGAGGAUGAUCAGUCACACUGGAACUGAGACACGGUCCAGACUCCUACGGGAGGCAGCAGUGGGGAAUAUUGGACAAUGGGCGAAAGCCUGAUCCAGCCAUGCCGCGUGUGUGAAGAAGGUCUUCGGAUUGUAAAGCACUUUAAGUUGGGAGGAAGGGCAGUAAGUUAAUACCUUGCUGUUUUGACGUUACCAACAGAAUAAGCACCGGCUAACUUCGUGCCAGCAGCCGCGGUAAUACGAAGGGUGCAAGCGUUAAUCGGAAUUACUGGGCGUAAAGCGCGCGUAGGUGGUUCAGCAAGUUGGAUGUGAAAUCCCCGGGCUCAACCUGGGAACUGCAUCCAAAACUACUGAGCUAGAGUACGGUAGAGGGUGGUGGAAUUUCCUGUGUAGCGGUGAAAUGCGUAGAUAUAGGAAGGAACACCAGUGGCGAAGGCGACCACCUGGACUGAUACUGACACUGAGGUGCGAAAGCGUGGGGAGCAAACAGG
rnacentral:rRNA from 1 species